ensembl:lncRNA
AAGCUUUUGAGGAGUAGAGACCUUUGAGGGAACAAUUCUCAGAUGAAAUAAAACAAUGCUCUUUUGUUGCAGGAAGGAGAGAAAGCAAAGAAAAUGAAGCUAAUAAAGGCAGAAGAGUGAGAGAAGGCACUUAUCAAUCAAUCAGUCAAUCAAUCAAUCAAUCCAGUUUCAUCAGAAAAUGGGUCUUUUCCAGUGCCUACCUAAGAAAACCAAGGCUAGUUCACAUUCAGUGACUGGUACAGGAGGCUCGACUCCCACGAGAUGGCGGCACGGACACAUGAAAUAAUUCUCUCUGCGCUGGACCUGAAAGGGACUUGGCAUUUCCAUGCGGUAAGUCCAGGCACAUCUUGGGUUUGGGAAUUCCACUGAUAGUUCAUAUAAUCUUUGUCACAACUUGUCUUUUCAGGCAAUCUUACUGACAAGAGUAGUAUUUUAUUAGUGAAAUUGUGUAAACAGUAAAUUUUACCUAAAGCACUAUUUGUUUAUUGUUCUACUAAAUAUAAACUCUACUGUAAUAUCAAACUGAUCUUUAAAACGACAUAGAAAACUUUGACAGCAUGCGAGUUUAAUAGCAGAUCUUGAAUCUGAUGAGUUUAGGGGAUAAACAAACUC